UACUGAGAACUCAUUUAUUGUUCCAUCAUUGUAAUCACUUAUUAAUCACUCAAUAUUAUCCUCCUAAUAAAAGUCGGUUAGUUUUUAAAUGGCCAAAAACAAAAUUACGACUCUUGUGUGUUUUCUGUGUGUAUUUUGAUGACUGAACUAUUUUGAACAACUGGGGCCUUAUGAACCUAUAUAUUGCUCUCAGUUAAAAUCAUGGUUGUGAUUUUGAUGAGGGGUGUAUCUACACCCUAAACACUGUUUAUUUGUGUGAGACCCAAGGAACAAUCAAAAGAAAUUGUCAUCAGGAAGAAAACUGUUGGACAGUAGAAACUGAAAGAGAUGUUUAAUAAAAUGAAGUUUCAUUAGUUGCUGGAAUCAAAUGUUUAGUUUAAAUCAUCUUGUUACCAUCUUACUAUAAAAAAGAAUAAAAAGGUUGUGACUGAAUCUAAACUGAUCAUUUCCAUGGUUUACUGAUAAAUGUGUAGCAUGGAUGUUUGUUAGUAACUGACUUUUCUCUCAAUAAUUUACAGUAUGAAUAUAUUUCUGCUGUUAGUUUAGUGUUAAAGUUCAUAUUUUGUUAUGAAAACGUCCUAGAGGACAAGAGCUCUGUAGUCAUCUAGGUCCAGGUAUUUGAAUGUUCUGUUGGAGUUACACAAUCGUUACAAUGUUCAACUCCUGUGAUGAUUCUGCUCUGUGCCUGCCCUGCUCUGCUUAAUUGGUUCCAAGGCUCUCCACUUCCCACAGCUGUUUCCACUCUCCUGAUGAGGCUCACUGGCUUUAAAAGGCUCAUUCUGAGACUUGGUCUUCGCUGGAGCAUCACGCCUUCUGGGUACCUCUCCUGGCCACCUUGCUUUAAUGUUUUACAGCAAGUAUUAUUUCUCUAGAAAUUCUAAGUGUGGUUUUUGGAACAUUGUUGUUUUUAUUCCCCUUGUUCUCAGACCUUAACCAACCUCCUUGCCAGUGUCAGCCUCCUGGAAUCAGCUUACAAGUUGGACUCACCUGUGGAACUAACUGUUGGACUUUUUGGACUGCCUCUUCUGCUUCUUGAUUCUUGGAACCUCAGGUCUCUAUUGCCACGUGCCUCCUCCCAAGUUGUCUGCCUCCAGAGUUACUUUCUUGCUGAACCUAGCCUCCCCGGAUCUUGUCCCCUUUGUUGCACAUUCUAGUUUUUUGUUGUUCACCACAUUGUAAAUAAAUCACUUGAAUUUUA